rnacentral:misc_RNA from 1 species
AAAGUCGUAACAAGGUUUCCGUAGGUGAACCUGCGGAAGGAUCAUUCAUAAUAAGUGUUAAUGGCACUUUUAUCCAUUACCCACCUUGUGUGCAAUGUCGAGGAGAGGAUUGCCAUUUUUGGCGAUUCUCUUUUCAUAUACAUACAUGUUUUCAGUAUCAGUCUACAUCUAUUUAGAGAAUAAAAAACUCGAAAUACAACUUUCAACAACGGAUCUCUUGGCUCUC